AAGCAUUACAAUACAACCUUUGUUUUUGAAUCUAGGAGCAAAGAUGGUCUCUAACAAUCAACUCUUUCACCUCUUUUUGUUUCUUUGUUUUUUCCAGAUUACUUGUUUGCAUGCCCAACUCUGCACUCAACAACAGACCUCUGCAUUGCUCCAAUUUAAGCAACAAUUUUCCUUCUAUAAAUAUGCUGACUACAGUAGGUGUGAUUCUGCCGGAAUCCUUUCUUACCCGAAGAUGGAGUCGUGGAAGGAGGGUUCUGAUUGUUGCUCAUGGGAUGGGGUCGAGUGUGACAACAACACAAGUCAAGUAAUUGGCCUCGACCUCAGUUGCAGCUGGCUCAACGGCACCAUCCACCCCAAUACCACAAUCUUCUACUACUUUCCUCACCUCCAAAGCCUCAACCUUGCUUUCAAUUACUUUGGUAUGUCUCCAAUCUCAUCUGAAUUUAGUCGAUUCACCAGACUGACACACCUCAACCUCUCUGGCUCUGUCUUUUCUGGCAAAGUCCCUAUAGAAGUCUCCUUUCUGAGCAAAUUGGUCUCGCUUGAUCUCUCUGACAAUGAUGGUUUGAGGUUGGAAGAACCUGGAUUUGAAUUACUUGUUCAAAACUUAACCAAGGACUUGGAGCUUCAAUACACUAAUUUCUCUGGAGAACUACCUGACUCAAUUGGGAAUUUGAAGUCCUUGAAAAUGUUGGGUGCCUUUGGUUGUGAAUUUUAUGGAUCCAUCCCUACGUCGCUCGGAAACCUUACGGAAAUGAUUGCUUUAGGCAUCGACGAUAACAAUUUCACUGGCAUGCUUCCAUCUUCACUUUCAAACCUUGGAAAUCUUGUCUACUUGCGAGUUGGGGGUAAUAAUUUUGAAGGUAAAAUCGCAGAUUUUUUACCUAAUGUAAAAAGUCUUCUAUAUUUAUAUAUUGGUCCAAAUAACUUCGGCUGUUCAUUCCCAUCAUUGGGUGCAAACCUAACAUCACUUAUUGUGUUAGAUUUGUCAAAUACUCAGCUAACGGGACCUCUUCCAUCACAAAUAAUUGGACUUCCAAAUCUAACGUCGUUAAGUUUAGAGGAUAACUUAAUCAACGGUACAAUUCCGUCUUGGGUUUUCAGCUUACCAGCAUUGGAAUACUUCAAAAUCAGCAAUAACAAAUUGACUGGCCAUGUAAAAGAGUUCAAAUCCUCUCAUUUAAGCGUUGUUGAUUUGAGCAAUAACAGCCUACAUGGUAGGUUUCCAAGUUCAACCUUCAAACUCGUGAACCUUACUAGUCUCAUUCUUUCAUCAAAUAACUUCAGUGGUGAGCUAGACAUGCUCUGUCAUGCAGUUUCCCUUGAAAUUCUUGUCCUGUCUAAUAAUAGCUUUAAUGGUUCUAUUCCACAAUGUUUAGGAAAUUUCAGCACAUAUUUCUUUGUGCUCGAUCUGCGGAAGAAUAAUUUUUCUGGCACCAUUCCUAAUACAUUUGUAAAGGAAAAUUUCUUCGAAACUAUCAACCUUAAUGGAAAUGGAUUUGAGGGGGCAGUACCAAAAUCUUUAGUCAAUUGCAAAAUGCUAGAAGUGCUAGAUCUUGGAUGUAACAAGUUCUCUGACAAUUUUCCACAUUGGCUGGAAAAACUACAAUCGUUGCAAGUUCUAAUUUUGAGAUCUAACAAAUUCCAUGGGCCCAUGCCAACUUCAAAAGCCAAGUUUCCCUUCCUUAACUUGCGAGUUAUGGAUUUGUCUGACAAUUAUUUUACUGGUCUAUUGCCAAAAAAAUAUUUCAAGAAUUUCAAUGCUAUGAUGAGUGUUGACGAAGCCAGUUUUAAAUUGCAAUACUUAAGUAUGAGUCGCAGUUUCACAUAUUACUAUAGUUUGACUAUAGUAAUCAAAGGAUCAACCAUAGAAAUGGUAAAAGUCCUAACCAUUUUCACUGCAAUUGAUUUAUCGAAAAACAAUUUCGAAGGUGAGAUUCCAGAGAUCAUUGGAAGGCUAAAUUCAAUCCGAGGGCUCAACUUAUCCCACAACAACCUUACAGGUCAUAUACCAGCAUCUCUUGCUAAUUCGACAACGCUCGAAUGGUUAGAUCUCUCUUCCAACAAACUCACUGGAAAGAUCCCUCAACAACUAAGGAAUUUGAUAUCCCUUGAAGUCUUGAACCUUUCUCAGAAUCAACUAGUAGGACCGAUACCACAAGGCAACCAAUUUGAUACAUUUUUAAAUGAUUCCUACAUUGGCAACUUGGCAUUAUGUGGACCUCCAUUGUUAAAUACAUGCAAUCCAAGGACACCACAACCACCACCCUUGAUGUUUCAACAAGAAGACAAUACUUCAAGUGGAUUCAAUUGGUAUGUCAUAUUGCCGGGUUAUGGAUGUGGGCUGGUAUGGGGAUUUUUUAUGGGAUAUCUUAUGUUCUCUAGAGGAAAACCUCAAUGGCUUGUGAGGAUCAUUGAAGGUGAACGAAACAAAAGCGGAAAGAGAUUUUAAAAGCAUUCUCACAGGAAUAGAGCAAGGUGAAAUUAGCCAAUGCAAGUGGUGUCCUUUGAUGCGGUGCAUUUUAAUUUGAUUUAAGCGGCACAUCUUUUGAAGUCAUGGCGAAUUUUGGUCAAGCUGAUGUAUUACGUAAUGCUAGGAAGUUGAAGAUACAGUAUCCAAGUGCUGUCAAUAUACAAUUUCGGUGGGUUCAUUUGGUGAAUAGUGCUGUGUGUGUUUUUAAAACCUUAGUGCUCUUCUUAUUGCUGCUUUUGGCUGGUGCUUCAAAGUCUUCUCAGUUUUCGGUUUCUGGCUGCUUCGAAGCACUGUUUGGGUAUAUAUCUGGCUACUUCAGUGGCGACUAAUUUGGAUUUAUUGUCUUGGGUUUUCAAUAGCUUGUUUGAAUAUAAUUUGUUACGUCUACUUGGUGAGUUAUCUCUUUUUGAUAAUUUAAAAUUUAUUUAAGGGUGAUUGUGAGACCUUUGAAUCUCGUUUGUAAUAAUUUGUAAACUCUUGAUUGAUAGUGAGAUCAGAUUACGGUCCUAUGGACAUACUUUACAUCGACGGAACCACGUAAAAAAAUUUGUGUGGUUGAUUUAUUUUUUCA